GUGAACGCUGGCGGUAGGCCUAACACAUUCAAGUCGAACGGCAGCACAGUAAGAGCUUGCUCUUACGGGUGGCGAGUGGCGGACGGGUGAGGAAUACAUCGGAAUCUACUUUUUCGUGGGGGAUAACGUAGGGAAACUUACGCUAAUACCGCAUACGACCUACGGGUGAAAGCAGGGGAUCUUCGGACCUUGCGCGAUUGAAUGAGCCGAUGUCGGAUUAGCUAGUUGGCGGGGUAAAGGCCCACCAAGGCGACGAUCCGUAGCUGGUCUGAGAGGAUGAUCAGCCACACUGGAACUGAGACACGGUCCAGACUCCUACGGGAGGCAGCAGUGGGGAAUAUUGGACAAUGGGCGCAAGCCUGAUCCAGCCAUACCGCGUGGGUGAAGAAGGCCUUCGGGUUGUAAAGCCCUUUUGUUGGGAAAGAAAAGCAGCAGGUUAAUACCCCGCUGUUCUGACGGUACCCAAAGAAUAAGCACCGGCUAACUUCGUG
rnacentral:rRNA from 1 species